ensembl:lncRNA
CAAUCGCGACCCGCGCGCUGGCCUGGCUGGGCGCUACGGUCCGGCUCGGCCCUGUUUGGCCCCCCUUCGGCUUGUGUCCCGCACCGCCGUCUCCACCCGCAGCCUCGUCGCCUUCUCCGGCCACCCGAGGAGCCGCCUGCCCCUGCCCCCCCGCCAGCGGCCGGGCCGCUCUGAGGGAGCCGGCCGUACCCCGCCCCGCAGAGGCCGCGCGGGCUGCGGGGCAGCCCCUGGGUUCCGGGCCGCCGCGGCCUCGGCUCGCGUCCAGGCCCCCGCACCGCCGCCGGAGGACCGUGGGGCCGGCCCCUCCCCGCCGAGUCCCGGUCUCGGCGGCUGCGGACUGGAGCUGCUGAGGAGCGCGUGGUCCCGGGGCUCGCGGCGGGGCUGAGGCGCCGGGGGCGCGUGUCGCUCUGUGAGCUGGGCGGAGGGUGGACGCAGGGGAGGGCCGGGGCAGGCCAGCCAGAGCCCGGGCCCUGAGGGCGGAGACACGCGCGGAGGCCGGCCCGCUGCCUGGCCGUGCAGAGCUGUGUGUCUUCAGCAAGUCGCCCAGUGUCCUCAGUAAGAGACCAGUUCCUUUACAAGCAAGAACCCUGUGGGCGCCCCUGCCCGGGACCUGGAAGAAUGAGGUCGCACAGGUGUCAGUCCUAUUCCGUGUCCUUCAGAAGGUUGGGUUGAGGGAAGGAUGGUCCAUAGCCUCCACUGAGUUUCAUCCACAAACCUUUCCUCGCCUGGAACUCAAAGCUGGCGAGGCAGGGCAACAGAUAUUUCCUCCAAGAUUCCCCCCCACCCCAAGAUUAUGAAGAACAUUGAGAAGUUGGGGGUCAUUGAUUCUCUUUAAGUUACGCGUUUGCUCUUGGCUCAGUUUUUCCCUUCUAUGAAAGUGAAGUUGCUCAGUCAUGUACAACUCUUUGUGAUCCCAUUGACUGUACUCUACCAGGCUCCUCCAUCCAUGGCAUUUUCCAGUCUGCCACCCUUCUCAAGAUGGUGGCCAGAGGUCAGCAGAGAAAGGGGAAUCCAAGGAACCAGGAGCCUGGAGACUUGCACCCGUGUCUCCCUGGCCAGAACAGAGUUCUGUGGACGAUGCUGGGAAAUGUAGCUUUUUAGUCAAAAGAUGGAAGCUUCAUCUUCAAUGGUGACCAGAAGCCCACGUGAGCUGCCAGCAGUCCAUGAGGCCCGUGUGGCUGGAGCACUCAGAUGUGUGUAAGAAUAGCUCCAGGUGCUUUCCAGAAGGGGCUUCUCAGGGACCUUACGGCAGAAGGCUCCUCCUGUUCCUGGCACUCUGGCCUGGACAUGAAGUCUCACAGAGAAAACCACUGGCUGCAGACUCCUCAUGGCAAAGCAGGCGUCAGGUCUUAUAUGAGCCUCUGGAAGAUGCGCUAGGCUUGCCCAAACUGCUCAGCACACAGACGGGAAGGAUGGAGUCCAGAAGGGACAAACGGGAUUCCGGUACCUCCAAGCCCCCCAUCCCCUCCCACGCACUGGAGUGUGCAAUGGCCUUGCAAUGCCUUUAACCCCGAGGUCAGUGGAAAAUCCCAUGUGAGGCUCCACCUAUGGGCUCACAAGCCAUGGCAGUCCUCAGAAACAAUCCGGGAGCGUUUCUUGAGCUUGAGAAGGCUGGCUGUGCGCUCCUCCCCUCCACCAAAUGUCCGCUUGACCAAUGUUUGCUACGGGCAUGCCUCGCUGUAGUGCGGUUCAAAGAUUUAUUUUUAUUUUUUUACAAAUUGAAGGUUUGUGGCAACCCUCUGUUCAGUAAAUCUAUCAACACCCAUUUUUCCAAUGGCAUUUGCUCGCUUUGGGUCUCUGUGCUACAUUCUGGUAAUUCUCGAAAUAUUUCAACUUUUUCAACAUUAUUCUGUUUGUUAAGGUGAUCUCUGAUGGGUGGGCAUUACGUUACUGUUGCAAAAAGGCCACAGCUCACUGAAGGGUCAGAUGAUGGUUAGCAUUUUUUAGCAACAGAGUAUUUUUAAAGUGUGUACUUUUUUUGGACAUAAUGCUAUCACACACGUAACGGACUAUCGUAUAGUACAGUAUAAACAUAGCUUUAUAUGCACUGGGAAACCAAAAAAUUCUUG